GGAAUGUCUUCACCAAUCAAGAAAAGGCACUCAGGGCAUAGCCUGCUUCUUUCAACUGUCACACCACUUGUCCCUCAUGUUUUGGCUGCUAACACGACUAAAGCAGAUAUGAGAGUUCAAGUUUCAGGGCUGCUACUCCAGGAAACAGAUCUGCCAUCAUCUCCAGCUGUGUCAGAAUCUGUCACUUUAUCUCCGAAUUGGGCCAUUUGAGGUAGAAAGUGUCCUGAUGGAGCAUCCUGCAGUUGCAGAGUCAGCUGUUGUCAGCAGCCCAGACCCCAUCAGAGGGGAGGUAAAAGAACGGAUUCGUCUCCACUUUAUCAUCUGUUGGCAGUCCAACACAUACUUUUAAAUGGUUGUAAAGGCUUUUAUUGUUCUGAAUGCUGAUUAUAAGUCACAUGAUCAAGAACGACUGAAAAAGGAGAUUCAGGAGCAUGUAAAAAGAACCACAGCACCUUACAAAUAUCCCAGAAAGGUAGAAUUUAUUCAAGAGCUGCCAAAGACUGUCAGUGGGAAGAUAAAAAGAAAUGAACUGAGGAAGAAAGAAUGGGAAACAAUUUAAAUCCAUUCUAUUAAUUAUUGCAAUAUCUAUAAAACAAAGAC